UGGUCUUUUAUCUAUUAUACGAAGCAAAAAUAUAUAAAUAUUACAAAAUAAAAUAAAGAAACACGUUUUUGAACUGAUAAGGUCAAAAAAUCCUUACAAACUACAAAAAACAACAAACUACAAUAUGUUGUACAAACAAAACAAGAACAUUUUCGCUUAAAGCUGCUAAUAUUUCACCAUAUAACAAUUUUUGAAUAAUUCAAAAAACCUGGAGAAGGUUUUUUCAGAUUUGGUUGUCCUUUGAUUUCUUCUUGUGUCAUGUGUCCUCUUUUUCUACAUCCGUUUUUUAUUUUCAAUAUUUGAGCUCAUAUCAAAAUAAACUGAUCACCUUUAAGGAGUACCGGAUGAAAAAGGUGAUUUAUUUCAUUGUUGGUGCACUAAAAAGCCUCGAAUGAUUAAACUAAGAAAAUACCUGUUGUUCUGUUGAUCUCAGAUAAGCAUUCAGCAGGGAUAGAUUCAAAUAUGGAAUUCAACUCAUGUGACAAAAAAAAA
rnacentral:lncRNA from 1 species